CCUACGGGUGGCAGCAGUGAGGAAUAUUGGUCAAUGGACGCAAGUCUGAACCAGCCAUGCCGCGUGAAGGAUGACGGUCCUAUGAGUUGUAAACUGCUUUUGUACGGGGGUAAAACCCGAUACGAGUAUCGGGUUGAAAGUAUCGUAUGAAUAAGGAUCGGCUAACUCCGUGCCAGCAGCCGCGGUAAUACGGAGGAUCCGAGCGUUAUCCGGAUUUAUUGGGUUUAAAGGGUGCGUAGGCGGUUUGAUAAGUUAGAGGUGAAAGGUCGGGGCUCAACCUCGAAACUGCCUCUAAAACUGUUGGACUAGAGAAUAGUAGCGGUAAGCGGAAUGUAUGGUGUAGCGGUGAAAUGCUUAGAGAUCAUACAGAACACCGAUUGCGAAGGCAGCUUACCAAACUAUAUCUGACGUUGAGGCACGAAAGCGUGGGUAGCAAACAGGAUUAGAUACCCCAGUAGUC
rnacentral:rRNA from 1 species